rnacentral:rRNA from 1 species
UACGUAGGUCCCGAGCGUUGUCCGGAUUUAUUGGGCGUAAAGCGAGCGCAGGUGGUUUAUUAAGUCUGGUGUAAAAGGCAGUGGCUCAACCAUUGUAUGCAUUGGAAACUGGUAGACUUGAGUGCAGGAGAGGAGAGUGGAAUUCCAUGUGUAGCGGUGAAAUGCGUAGAUAUAUGGAGGAACACCGGUGGCGAAAGCGGCUCUCUGGCCUGUAACUGACACUGAGGCACGAAAGCGUGGGGAUCGAACAGG